AUUGAAAACAUUUGUGUUUUAUCUGCAUUAAACUAUUCUGGAAUUGUACUUUUAAGGUUCAGAGGUGUUCUGUUUUUAAUGAUAUACAGUAAUAUAUUCCAGUCUUACAGUGUUUUAACUAUAGUUCUUGUUUUGAAAUUUUCUUCAUAUAAUAUAAUGAUGGGUUUAUUUUAAUAAAAAAUAACUGAUCAUUUGAUUAUCAAAAUCAUUCAAUUCAUUCACUUGUUUCUUUUUGAUACUUUUUAAUCUUAAAAUAAAGGACAAUCUCUCAAAAAAGAAGUGAUUUAAAACAAAACUUUAGUAUUAUGCAUCUUUAGUUGCUAUAGUUCAUAUGAAAGAAUUUUACAGAUUUUAAUGAUUCAUUUGAAUGAACUCAUCACUUAUAUGUAUUAAGUAUUAUUUAUUAUAUAUGAUGGAAAACUUGAGUUAAUGUUGACAGAAUCAAUGCUGUUUACGUGUAGCUGAUUUUAAUUACAUGAAGUUAUGCAAUACUGUUGACUUUAUUCUAAUAGUAAAAUGAUAAUGCCAGACUUUUGUGAUAGAUUAGCCAAAUUCUAGCUCAAAAGUUAAUCUAGCAUUAGCAUUUAAUGCCAUUUACUUUACAUUUAUAGGUUUUUACUCCACCAUCUAAUGAAUUGCUGAAAAUGAGUAUUAUUAAUGCAUAUAACGUAAUGUGUUUUAAAAAACUUCCAAUUAUUUUUCAGCCAUGUUAAUACCAAAACAUUUAUACUGAAGUCGUAGAAAAUUGUGAAAUCGAGCCACUCCAAAAAGUCCAAACAUGCCGGACCUCAAAAUAGCUGUAGUAUGUUCCAGUAAUCAAAACAGAAGCAUGGAAGCACAUGCUUUCCUCAGAAUAAAAUGAAGUACCAAAGAUGAGUGUAG